rnacentral:rRNA from 1 species
GUGGGGAAUCUUAGACAAUGGGGGAAACCCUGAUCUAGCCAUGCCGCGUGAGCGAUGAAGGCCUUAGGGUUGUAAAGCUCUUUCAGCUGGGAAGAUAAUGACUGUACCAGCAGAAGAAGCCCCGGCUAACUCCGUGCCAGCAGCCGCGGUAAUACGGAGGGGGCUAGCGUUGUUCGGAAUUACUGGGCGUAAAGCGCACGUAGGCGGACCGGAAAGUCAGAGGUGAAAUCCCAGGGCUCAACCUUGGAACUGCCUUUGAAACUCCUGGUCUUGAGGUCGAGAGAGGUGAGUGGAAUUCCGAGUGUAGAGGUGAAAUUCGUAGAUAUUCGGAAGAACACCAGUGGCGAAGGCGACUCACUGGCCCGUUACUGACGCUGAGGCGCGAAAGCGUGGGGAGCAAACAGGAUUAGAUACCCCAGUAGUCC